UGCAGUGCAAUUCUGUAAGGUAAUUUUUGAAACUCGCAUCUGAAUCCGCGGUGAGUUUUUGUUUUGGCAUUCUGUAAGACAUGUACUUAAGUUGAAUGCACACUAGCGACACAGUUGCGAGUACGGCAGCGAGUCGAACUAAAGUUGAUGCGAGAUUUUGACGUUUUUAGUAUGAGAUGACAGAUGUAUCCGCAUUCUGUAAGGGUGAUUCCCCGUUCACUUCGCUAUUCACUUCACUUACGAACUCGAUUUGAUCUGUCAAAUAAAAAGUUGAUGUUCGUCGAGUGAAAUCUAUACGUUUAUUAGUUAUUUGCUAGUGAUAUCGUGUCUAAUAAGACUCAAUAAGUUUCAAUUAAGGAAGCUCAUACUUUGGACAAUUUUGAGUUGCGUCGACAAGCCUAUGAAAUUCGUAGUUUGUCUCUGUUGACCCGAGAUGAUAACUAUGUCAGCGUAUAUAUAGUCUUUCGAAGCAAUUAAUCGACCAACUCGAGCUUGAGUUGCUCCCUAUAAUAAAAAAGUACCAAACGUCGAAGAAAAGGACUUACAACUCGUAUUAAGGUUUCAUGAAAAAAUCAUCAUUGGCAGCAUUGAUGGCACUCUCGUAACUUAAAAAGACCGGCUGAGCAUGAAGAGCGCUUCUUCUGUCGUAAGAAUUAUCAUGCUAGGAUGUGCAAUUGAAUAAAUAUCAUGUGCAAUUGAUUACAGAUGAAAGUUUUAUUUUUAAUGAAGAUGUAAGAGAUCACUUAGAGGCUUUGACAAAUGCUGGUGAAGAAAUUGUUUUGUUCGGUGGUUCUGGAUAUGCUGAGCGGGCUAACCUUAUGACACCUAUAAAUAAUGCCCCAGACAAUACUCCUGAAACAUAAAUUAUAACAUGCUUGCGCAACUCCGUAGAACGCCAAAUGGUUUGUUGAAAAGACGCUUCAGGUGUUUGUUAGUACACAGGGUCCUAGACUAUCAUCCUGAUAAAGUUGCAAUGCAUGUUGUAUUCUGCAUAACGUGUUCAACCGGGCUGGAAUGGAGGUAGUUAAUUUGACUGAAGAUGAAAACCUAGAGGAAGCUCAGGUGGCAGCCGAGACACAGAGAAGGCAACGUGCCAAAUCAUGAUGAUUUAAAUGUUGGACGGUCGCAAAGGCCUCAAAGGACAAAGAAAAAAAAGUCAAAGAUCUUGUGAAUAGAUUGUGGUGAUCGCGUCGACGUUAACUCCACCUCAUUGUUUUUAGUUUAUAAGUUUGUAUAAGUUU